UUGGUUUGGUUUUGUUUGGGUUUGUUUUGUUUUGUUUUGUUUUGUUUUGUUUUGUUUUGUUUUGUUUUGUUUUGUUUUGUUUUGUUUUUAGGGCCAAAUCCUGCAUUUUUUACUUCUUCUGGAAGCCUGGGCACAAACCAUCUGACUGCAACUGGGAAUUCAUGACCUCUCUCCCUUGACAUGAAAGCUUUACUGGAACUACCUCAGCUAAUGUCCUUGAAGUCUAAAGGAUCUACCAUUUCCUGCUGAGGAUCCUCUUCUCCGUGUGUUUCCUGAUGCCUCUGGAUGUUGCUAUAUUCUAUUAGCCUUCUACGGGUUUGUUUUCCCCUUGUUUCCGCAUUAAAUAACAGCAACAGGUGGAAAUUUAGAGAUUUCUCUGGAAAUUCCAAACUCUGCCUGGCUCUUUUCAUCCCAUGAGCAUCCCAGCCAGGUCGCAGCCGUGGUGAUUCAGCCACAGCACUGCUGGAAAAUGGAAAAAAUGGAUUAAAAGGAACGAGGUUAUGCCGCACGAAAAAAAUACUCCCAAACAACUGUGGAGGAGGGAAGAGGAGGUUCUGCUCUGGCCCUAGCACAGGAUCCAUGCCGUGCCUCUCUCCUUCCCAUCGGUAUUUCCUUGCAAUCCCACAUUCUCUGCAGCCUGUGGUUGGGAUUGGGAGAGCAGGGAAUAGCUGCUGUGGCUCCCUGGCAGCGCGGGAGGGAUGAGCCGAGAUUGAAAUCGUUCCCUACCGUUGAUGCGAGGACGACUCCAAACACCGGCUCCGGCUCCAUCCGCAUCGUUCUUGCGCGCUAUCUCUGCAAGGAAAAGUAAACACUUGUCUUACCUCCUGGUUUAAUUAGUGCCUGCUCCGGGGCUAAUUAGGAGCGCGCUCCGCACGGAGGUCGCCGCCGGAGCUCUCCCUUCCUCUCCCGUUCCCGUUCCCGUUCCCGUUCCCGCUCCCGCUCCCUCUCCCGCUCCCGCUCCCGCUCCGUGCCAUCUGCCAUUGCCAUGACACUGGCGUUGCUUUUCACGCCUGGCUGGGUGCGCUGGAUGCGCGGGGUAAGGGGGCUAUUUUUCCCCCCCUUGGUCUUUGGAAAGGGAAAAAAUAAUAAUAAUAAACCCAGG